GUGCUUUGUUCGUUGUGUGGUGCUUUGUUUGUUAUGUGGUGCUUAGUUUGUUGUGUGGUGCUUUGUUCGUUGUGUGGUGCUUUGUUCGUUGUGUGGUGCUUUGUUCGUUGUGUGGUGCUUUGUUCGUUGUGUGGUGCUUUGUUUGUUGUGUGGUGCUUUGUUCGUUGUGUGGUGCUUUGUUCGUUGUGUGGUGCUUUGUUCGUUGUGUGGUGCUUUGUUUGUUGUGUGGUGCUUUGUUCGUUGUGUGGUG